rfam:Halorubrum saccharovorum strain H3 NODE_42, whole genome shotgun sequence.
CUGAAGGCCGCGUCCGGGUCAAUUCCCCGCUGCGGGAACACCCGAUCUCCCUGCUCGUUCCCUCCGGAAUGGAGGUCGAGCAGGGGGAGCGCGUCACCAUCAG